GACCAUGGCUCAGUGAUGGAGUGUCUGUUUGGUAUGCAGAAGGUCCCAGGUUCAAUCCCCAGCAUUUACA
rnacentral:tRNA from 1 species